ACUUGCCGCGUGCUGUCAAAGUCUUUGUAAAAGUGACGUGAAGAGAUUUUCAUGUUGGAAAGAUGACUAACUGCAUCGUAGAAUUAAUGUGAAAGGGUGGCCCAAGGAAGCAAGUUUCUUCACAGCUAUUGCAAUAAACAGGGUCUACUGGAGACCUUGGCUUUUUAUUUCCCUGACACAACUUCACACUGCUGGAGCAAUGCUUGGAUUGCUCUGGAAACACUGGCAAAUCUCAAGAUGCAGUUCAGGCUUCUCCAUGAUGAGUGUGAGUCCCUAGGCUGUCUCUCAAACUAAAGAUUCCCCAGCCAGGCAACUCUAAAGAGUCUUCGACAAGGCAACACAAUUACUCUGUGUGCUUAGAAGAAGAGGGGUCAUAAAUGUCAGCUGUUGCUCUUUGAGUCCUGCUAAUUCAUUCAUUGAUUCACUCAUCUUUCCCACAGGCAUGUGCUGUGCGUUUACUGUACUGCAUGACACUGUGGAGGUUAUAAAGAAAUAAAAUAUUUGGGGCUUACUCUCUAUGAAAUAAAAUUCUAAUUCUUUCUACCAUAUAUUCUUAUGUGAGAUCCCAGCCUGCUCUACCUGGUGCCUGCUCUACCUGUUACCUGGACUAGGGCAUUUCUGUAUCAGAUUAAAUUUAAAGGUGUUUCAAUAGUUAAUAAUGAUCAAACGUUAUAAAUAUUGGGAAACUAUAAUGGAUGAGGUGAAAAAGAAAAGGCCACUAAGUAGAAAAUUAGAUAAAAUAGACAUAUAUAAAAUUAAGUCAUGUGUUAUGGGCUAAACUGUGUCCCCCACAAAAUUCAUGUUGGGGUCAGUACCUCAGAAUGUGUCUGUAUUUGGAGACAGGGCCUUUAUAGAAAUAAUUAAAUUAAAAUGAGGUCACUAGGGUCAGCUCUAAUCCAACAAGAUGGGCAUCCUGAUAGGAAGAGGGAAUUUGGAUACAGAGGGAAGAUUAUAUAAAGACACGGGGAGAGGAUGACCAUCUACAAGACCAAGAGAGAGGCCUGUCCGUAAGAAACCAACCCUCAAGGAGAGAGGCCUUUCUGUAAGAAACCAACCCUGCCAGCACCCAGCUUUUGGAGCUCUAGUCUCCAGAAAUGUGAAAUAAAUUUC
rnacentral:lncRNA from 1 species